UUUAAAAGAUUAUUAAUAUUGAUGAUAACAUAAGAAAGGAAUUUAUAUAUAACGUAUUAGAGAAUUUUUUUUUUCUACUUUGUUAGUUAGAUGUUACGAUAAAAUAUUUGUAUAUAUGAAAUAAUAAUUUAUUAAAAGAAUAAAAGUUUCUAAUUUUGAAUAAUAAAAAAGAUAUAGAUACUGAUAUGGAUAAACAUUUUCUAAACGAAUUAUUUGGACGAAAAGCCUCGCCGUAUUCCCCCGCCAAAGAGCGUCCAACUAUAAAUAAUACCCUGUUCAACUUUCAUCUCCCUCCUGCACACUCCAUUCAAAAGUACCCUCCCUUAAAUCCCGAAUCAUUUUCUCUCGCCUUUCUAUCUAACCCUUCUCUCCACUUCAAACCCCAUUCUGAAUAAUUUAGGAACUCUUCUUUCAUUUCUUCUCCCAGGUUUCUCUCUCUCUCUACUCGUGAAAGCAUACUCGAGAAACUCGAUUUGUCUCUGAAUUUUAGGAUACAAUAGAAAACUUGUUUUCAUCUUUGUUUCCGAUGUACUUGAAUUCUAUAUAGAAGUAGUCGAGAAUCGUCUUUCUCAGAUUACAUUUAUGUGUUUGAGUUUGUAUCGGUCUGUGUUGCAAUUCUAUUCUGUACAAUCUAGAUAUUUCGAAUCGAUUAACCGUUCAUUACAUUCGAGUAUAGCAUGAAGAUUUGUUCCGCU
rnacentral:lncRNA from 1 species